rnacentral:rRNA from 1 species
UACAGAGGUCCCGAGCGUUGUUCGGAUUCACUGGGCGUAAAGGGCGCGUAGGCGGUCAGCACAAGUCAGUUGUGAAAUCUCCGGGCUUAACUCGGAAAGGUCAACUGAUACUGUGCGACUAGAGUGCGGAAGGGGCAACUGGAAUUCUCGGUGUAGCGGUGAAAUGCGUAGAUAUCGAGAGGAACACCUGCGGCGAAGGCGGGUUGCUGGGCCGACACUGACGCUGAUGCGCGAAAGCCAGGGGAGCGAACGGG